rnacentral:rRNA from 1 species
GACGUAGGUGGCGAGCGUUGUUCGGAAUCACUGGGCCUAAAGCGCACGUAGGCGGCCAAGUCAGUCAGGUGUGAAAUACCUCGGCUCAACCGAGGAACUGCGCCUGAUACUGCUUGGCUUGAGGUCCGGAGGGGAGAGUGGAAUUCCCGGUGGAGCGGUGAAAUGCGUAGAGAUCGGGAAGAACGCCGGCGGCGAAAGCGACUCUCUGGUCGGAAUCUGACGCUGAGGUGCGAAAGCUAGGGGAGCAAACGGG